UGGGUGGAAUUUGAACCCUGAUUGUCUGAUU
rnacentral:piRNA from 1 species